rnacentral:rRNA from 1 species
GACAGAGGGUGCAAACGUUGUUCGGAAUUACUGGGCGUAAAGCGUGUGUAGGCGGCUUUGCAAGUCGGAUGUGAAAGCCCAGGGCUCAACCCUGGAAGUGCACUCGAUACUGCGAAGCUUGAGUAUCGGAGAGGUUGGUGGAAUUCUCGGUGUAGAGGUGAAAUUCGUAGAUAUCGAGAGGAACACCGGUGGCGAAGGCGGCCAACUGGACGAAUACUGACGCUGAGACACGAAAGCGUGGGGAGCAAACAGG